GACGAACGCUGGCGGCGUGCUUAACACAUGCAAGUCGAACGGAAAGGCCCUGCUUUUGUGGGGUGCUCGAGUGGCGAACGGGUGAGUAACACGUGAGUAACCUGCCCUUGACUUUGGGAUAACUUCAUGAAACUGGGGCUAAUACCGGAUAGGAGCUCCUGCUUCAUGGUGGGGGGUGGAAAGUUUCGGCGGUUGGGGAUGGACUCGCGGCUUAUCAGCUUGUUGGUGGGGUAGUGGCUUACCAAGGCGUUGACGGGUAGCCGGCCUGAGAGGGUGACCGGCCACAUUGGGACUGAGAUACGGCCCAGACUCCUACGGGAGGCAGCAGUGGGGAAUAUUGCACAAUGGGCGGAAGCCUGAUGCAGCAACGCCGCGUGCGGGAUGACGGCCUUCGGGUUGUAAACCGCUUUCGCCCGUGACGAAGCGUGAGUGACGGUAAUGGGUAAAGAAGCACCGGCUAACUACGUG
rnacentral:rRNA from 1 species